GAACGCAUCUUGCGCUCCUUGGUAUUCCGAGGAGCAUGCCUGUUUGAGUGUCAUUUUAACUUCUCAACCAUAUCGAAUUGUUUUUCGAGGUGGCUUGGACAUGGGGGUUUUUGCAGGCUUCAAUAAUGAAGUCGGCUCCUCUGAAACACAUUAGUGGUAUCUGAAGCAGAACUGCUACUAUUAGGUGUGAUAAUUAUCUAUGCCUCUUGGUAUACUGCAUGAACAGAUUGCGCUGCUUCCAACUUGUACACCCUUUGGUGUUUGACAAAUUUGACCUCAAAUCAGGUAGGACUACCCGCUGAACUUAAG
rnacentral:misc_RNA from 1 species